UCCUGAGCCGAGAAUUCUGAAGAUCUCCUCCCUCCCUGAAGCUGUGGGCUGGGCCGUCGGAAAACUUUCAGUUUUGUUUCCUUGCCUGCAAGAAACGAAACUCAACCGAAAGCCUGCAGAGAGCAGAACAUGGAAGGAGACUUCUCGGUGUGCAGGAACUGUAAAAGACAUGUAGUCUCUGCCAACUUCACCCUCCAUGAGGCUUACUGCCUGCGGUUCCUGGUCCUGUGUCCGGAGUGUGAGGAGCCUGUCCCCAAGGAAACCACGGAGGAGCACUGCAAGGUGGAGCACCAGCAGGCUUAUGGAUCUGGCAUAGGCAAGAGGUUCUGGUUUCAGGAAAGACUGGCUGUUCUCUUGAGAUCUGUAAAGAGAGGAUGUGAAAAAGGAAGGUCCUGGAAGGCAGUCAGAUGGAGCCCUGUUUCCCGCCUUUCCAUGUCCAUUCCUCCUGGGGCCCCUGAUCUGUCUCUCUGGAGAUACUCAAGCUCAGGCAGCCGUUGCCAACUCAGACUGGUCUGAGAAACACUUCUUGAACACUGGGCUGGGUGCUAGAGAGACACUGAGGUAGCCACAUCGGAUCCCUGCCCUCUGGGAGUUCACAGACCCAAACCCGGAACACCGUGAGCCAAAGUGGAUGUAGGGCAGGCUCUGGGUGUUGGGUGGACCCACAUCUGGUGUGUGUGUGUGUGUGUGUGUGUGUGUGUGUUUAGGUUGGGUGUACGAUGUGUCAGCAGAGCAUGCAGAAGUCCUCGCUGGAGUUUCAUAAGGCCAAUGAGUGCCAGGAGCGCCCUGUUGAGUGUAAGUUCUGCAAACUGGACAUGCAGCUCAGCAAGCUGGAGCUCCACGAGUCCUACUGUGGCAGCCGGACAGAGCUCUGCCAAGGCUGUGGCCAGUUCAUCAUGCACCGCAUGCUCGCCCAGCACAGAGAUGUCUGUCGGAGUGAACAGGCCCAGCUCGGGAAAGGGGAAAGAAUUUCAGCUCCUGAAAGGGAAAUCUACUGUCAUUAUUGCAACCAAAUGAUUCCAGAAAAUAAGUAUUUCCACCAUAUGGGUAAAUGUUGUCCAGACUCAGAGUUUAAGAAACACUUUCCUGUUGGAAAGCCAAAAAUUCUUCCUUCAUCUCUUCCAAGUCAAGUUGCUGAAAAUCAAACUUCCACGAUGGAGAAAGAUGUUCGUCCAAAGACAAGAAGUAUAAAUAGAUUUCCUCUUCAUUCUGAAAGUUCAUCAAAGAAAGCACCAAGAAGCAAAAACAAAACCUUGGAUCCACUUUUGAUGUCAGAGCCCAAGCCCAGGACCAGCUCCCCUAGAGGAGAUAAAGCAGCCUAUGACAUUCUGAGGAGAUGUUCUCAGUGUGGCAUCCUGCUUCCCCUGCCGAUCCUAAAUCAACAUCAGGAGAAAUGCUGGUGGUUAGCUUCAUCAAAAGGAAAACAAGUGAGAAAUUUCAGCUAGAUUUGGAAAAGGAAAGGUGCUACAAAUUCAAAAGAUUUCACUUUUAACACUGGCUUUCCUGCCUACUUGCUGUGGUGGUUUUGUGAAAAGUGAUGGGUUUUAUUCGUUGGGCUUUAAAAGAAAAGGUUUGGCAGAACUAAAAACAAAACUCACGUAUCAUCUCAAUAGAUACAGAAAAGGCUUUUGAUAAAAUUCAACUUGACUUCAUGUUAAAAACCCUCGACAAACCAGGCAUUGAAGGAACAUACCUCAAAAUAAUAAGAGCCAUCUAUGACAAAACCACAGCCAACAUCAUACUGAAUGAGCAAAAGCUGGAGCAUUACCCUUGAGAAGUAGAACAAGGCACUUCAGUCCUAUUCAACAUAGUACUGGAAGUCCUCACCACAGCAAUCAGGCAAGAGAAAGAAAUAAAAGGCAACCAAAAAGAGAGGAAGUCGAAGUAUCUCUGUUUGCCGACGAUAUGAUUCUAUAUCUAGAAAACCCCAUGAUCUUGGCCCAAAAGCUCCUAGAUCUGAUAAACAACUUCAGCUAACUUUCAGGAGACAAAAUCAAUAUACAAAAUACAGUAGCAUUUUUAUACACCAACGACAUCCAAGCUGAGAGCCAAAUCAAGAAUGCAAUCCUAUUCACAAUUGCCACAAAAAGAAUAAAAUACCUAGGAAUACAGCUAACCAGGGAGAUGAAAGAUCUCUACAACAAAAAUUACAAAACACUGCUGAAAGAAAUCAGAGAUGACACAAAUGGAAAAACAUUCCAUGCUUAUGGAUAGGAAGAAUCAAUAUUGUUAAAAUGGCCAUACUACCCAAAGCAAUUUAUAGAUUCAAUGCUAUUCCUAUCAAACUACCAAUAACAUUCUUCACAGAAUCAGAAAAAAAAGCAUUAAAAUUUAUUUGAAACCAAAAAAGAGCCCCAAAAGCCAAAGCAAUCCUAAGCAAAAAGAACAAAGCUGGAGGCAUCGCAUUACCCAACUUCAAACUAUACUACAGGGCUACAGUAACCAAAACUGCAUGAUACUGGUACAAAAGCAUGGUACUGGUACAAAAGCAGACACAUAGAUCAAUGGAACAGAAUAGAGAGCCCAGAAAUAAAGCUACACACCUACAACCAUCUAAUCUUUGACAAAGUUGACAAAAAUACGCAAUGGGGAAAGAAUUCCCCAUUCAGUAAGUGGUACUGGGAUAACUAGCUAGCCAUAUGCAGAAGAUUGAAACUGAACCACUUCCUUACACCAUAUGCAAAAAUCAACUCAAGAUGGAUUAAAGACUUAAAUGUAAAACCCCAAACUAUAAAAACUCUGGAAGAUAACCUAGGCAAUACCAUUCUGGACAUAGGAACGGAAAAAGAUUUCAUGACAAAGAUCCCAAAAAUAAUUGUAACGAAAGCAAAAAUUGACAAAUGGGACAUGAUUAAACAGAACUACCAUUUGACUCAGCAAUCCCAUUAUUGGUUAUAUACCCAAAGGAAUCUAAAUCAUUCUGUCAUAAAGAAAUAUAUACACAAAUGUUCACGGCAGCACUAUACACAAUCGCAAAGUCAGGGAAUCAAACUAAAUGUCCAUCAGUGGUAGAAAGGAUAAAGAAAAUGUGGUGGCAGGGAGUGGUGGCUCAUGUCUGUAAUCCCAGCACUUUGGGAGGCUGAGGCGGGUGGUUCACCUGAGGUCAGGAGUUUGAGACCAGCCUGGCCAACAUGGCGAAACUCCGUCUCCACUAAAAAUACGAAAAUUAGCCAGGCGUGGUGGCAAGCGCCUGUCAUCCCAGCUACUUGGGAGGCCUAGGCGUAAGAAUCGCUUGAACCUGGAAGGUGGUGGUUGCAGUGAGCCGAGAUCCUGCCACUGCACUCCAGCCUGGGCAACCAAGCGAGACUCUGCCUUAAAAAAAAAAAAAAGAAAAUGUGGCACAUAUACACCAUGGAAUACUAUGCAUCCAUAAAAAAGAAUGGGAUCAUGUCCUGUGCAGCAACAUGGAUGGAGCUGGAAGCCAUUAUCCUAAAUGAACUCACUCAGAAACAGAAAACCAAAUACCACAUGUUCUCACUUAUAAGUAGAAGCUAAACAUUGAGUACACAUGGAUACAAAGAAGGGAACCGCAGACACUGGGGCCUACCUGAGGUUGGAGCAUGGAAGGAGGGUGAGGAUCAAAAAACUACCUAUCUGGUACUAUGCUUUUUAUCUGGAUGAUGAAAUAAUCUGUACAACAAACCCUGGUGACAUGCAAUUUACCUAUAUAGCAAGCCUACACACGUGCCCCUGAACCUAAAAAAAAAGUUAAAAGAAAAACGUUUGGAUUAUUUUCCCUCUUUCGAACAAAGACAUUGGUUUGCCCAAGGACUACAAAUAAACCAACGGGAAAAAAGAAAGGUUCCAGUUUUGUCUGAAAAUUCUGAUUAAGCCUCUGGGCCCUACAGCCUGGAGAACCUGGAGAAUCCUACACCCACAGAACCCGGCUUUGUCCCCAAAGAAUAAAAAC
rnacentral:lncRNA from 1 species